AGAGUUUGAUCAUGGCUCAGAACGUACGCUGGCGGCACGCCUUAUACAUGCAAGUCGAACGAAGUAGCAAUACUUAGUGGCAGACGGGUGAGUAACAUGUGGGUAUCUUCCCUUUGGUGAGGAAUAACACGAGGAAACUUGUGCUAAUACCUCAUAAGUCUUUACGGAGAAAGCUUUAUGCGCCAAUGGAUGAGCCCGCACUUGAUUAGUUUGUUGGUGGGGUAAUGGCCUACCAAGACUGUGAUCAAUAGCUGAUUUGAGAGGAUGAUCAGCCACAUUGGGACUGAGACACGGCCCAAACUCCUACGGGAGGCAGCAGUAAGGAAUCUUGCACAAUGGAGGAAACUCUGAUGCAGCGAUGCCGCGUGAGUGAAGAAGGCCUUUGGGUUGUAAAGCUCUUUCGUCGGGGAAGAAAAUGACUGUACCCGAAUAAGAAGGUCCGGCUAACUUCGUGCCAGCAGCCGCGGUAAUACGAAGGGACCUAGCGUAGUUCGGAAUUACUGGGCUUAAAGAGUUCGUAGGUGGUUAAAAAAGUUGGUGGUGAAAUCCCAGAGCUUAACUCUGGAACUGCCAUCAAAACUUUUUAGCUAGAGUAUGAUAGAGGAAAGCAGAAUUUCUAGUGUAGAGGUGAAAUUCGUAGAUAUUAGAAAGAAUACCAAUUGCGAAGGCAGCUUUCUGGAUCAUUACUGACACUGAGGAACGAAAGCAUGGGUAGCGAAGAGGAUUAGAUACCCUCGUAGUCCAUGCCGUAAACGAUGUGUGUUAGACGU
rnacentral:rRNA from 1 species